CUCUCUUUCUUUUACUCUGGGGAUGUGAAGAUGUGUCUGCUUCCCCUCUGCCUUUCACCAUGAUUGUAAAUUUCCUGUGCAGCCUGCUUCCUGUACAGCCAGGCUUCGCAUAUGGCCUGCAGAACCGAGGGGGAUGAAGAGCACUUUCAGAACCUCGAGCAAGGUAGAGCUUGGAGCUGCAAGGAGCCUGAUUCCUCAGUCACUGCAUGGAGCAGAAAGCCUCCUCCCUACCUGUGCUUUAUUGUGUAAGAAGCAUGCUGUGAUAUUGAGUCAAUUGAUUGCCCAAUCACAGACAUCUUUCACCGACAGAGUAACAGGUGUGUGGGCUUUGAGCAGUCACUACACCUUCCCUCUUCAGGCAGGAUGAGAGGAUUCCUGCAGCGUUUUGCAAGAG
rnacentral:lncRNA from 1 species